UACGUAGGGGCCUAGCGUUGUCCGGAUUUAUUGGGCGUAAAGAGCUCGUAGGCGGUUUGGUAAGUCGGGUGUGAAAUCUCCACGCUCAACGUGGAGGGGCCACCCGAUACUGCCGUGACUAGAGGUCGGUAGGGGAGUGUGGAAUUCCUGGUGGAGCGGUGAAAUGCGCAGAUAUCAGGAGGAACACCCGUAGCGAAGGCGGCACUCUGGGCCGAUACUGACACUGAGGAGCGAAAGCGUGGGGAGCGAACAGG
rnacentral:rRNA from 1 species